UACAGAGGGGGCAAGCGUUGUUCGGAAUUACUGGGCGUAAAGGGCGCGUAGGCGCCUUCUAAGUCGAACGUGAAAUCCCCGGGCUCAACCCGGGAACUGCGUCCGAUACUGGAAGGCUUGAAUCCGGGAGAGGGAUGCGGAAUUCCAGGUGUAGCGGUGAAAUGCGUAGAUAUCUGGAGGAACACCGGUGGCGAAGGCGGCAUCCUGGGACCGGCA
rnacentral:rRNA from 1 species